rnacentral:rRNA from 1 species
UACGAAGGGGGCUAGCGUUGCUCGGAAUUACUGGGCGUAAAGGGCGCGUAGGCGGAUAUUUAAGUUAGAGGUGAAAGCCCAGGGCUCAACCCUGGAACAGCCUUUAAUACUGGAUAUCUUGAGUUCGGGAGAGGUGAGUGGAACUGCGAGUGUAGAGGUGAAAUUCGUAGAUAUUCGCAAGAACACCAGUGGCGAAGGCGGCUCACUGGCCCGGUACUGACGCUGAGGUGCGAAAGCGUGGGGAGCAAACAGG